rnacentral:lncRNA from 1 species
CCAGAAUCCACAGAUGUCAUUAUCCAUCUGCACACUUUGUUUACUACCCAGAAGGCAAGAAUAUUGCAUUUUAAAAGUGCCCGGACUUUUGUUCUUUCUUAUCACAAAUGACUUGGGAAGCUCCGACCACUCAUGUUUACCCCGAGUGAAAGUCCCAUUCAAAGCCUUGCUUCCUGGAGAGCUUUGAGAUUCUGGUACAAAAGGCAUUUUAUAAGCACAAAGUGGAAAAGCAUCAUUCAUAUUCAUUUGCUGCUGCGGCAUUUCUCCCUGGAAUCUUCCUCUUGUCUGUCAACAUUGGGCAAAAGGACUGGCCUCAUCUACAUUACAGAUAUCCUUGUGAUGGUCUGGAGGGACCUGUGGGAGAGGCGGCCAUCCAGAGGGCUCUCUGAGGGGUCAUUUAGAAUGCAGCUCUUCUGGGCAGAGGAUGGUCUGCACUGGCCUCCACCGCGCAGGAAGGCUUCCAGAGUGGAGAAAUGUCCACUAACAUGGCUUCUGUGAGGUAUCAUUCUGAUCAUUGUUG